rnacentral:lncRNA from 1 species
AAUUAGGCUCAAUAAAAUCCUAAUCAAAUUAGAAAUUGAUUAAGCCCAACCCCUGAUCAAAUCAGGGACCAAACCAUCUCGACGAUUAGGUCAACUCUUAAACUAAUCGGGUCAAACCCAACUGAAUCCAAUUCAAUUGGACUUGAUCCAAAAAUAAUUACUCAAUCGAAUUGAGUUAAUUAGCGAUCAAAUCAUUAAUUAAAUCUCUCAUAAAUAUUGAGUCCAAAUUCGAUGGGUAAUCGGGCAUCAGAAUUCAUCGAUAUGUAACCC